rnacentral:RNase_MRP_RNA from 1 species
GGGCAUUCGGAACACUUGCACUCUGGGCUACUGACUGAGAACUUGCUUCUCCCCUCCCGCCCAGGGGAAAGUCCCCGGACCCGAGGCAGAAAGUGCCCUGGCUAGAUCCAGCGUCGGCCAGCGCUGCACCGCAACGGGCUGAGACGCUCCUGUGAGCCGAGCUCGGUCAUUGCUGGUUGACUUUGUCAGUUAAAUAGUAAUGCAAGUAAGCAGCUACUUAACAGAACGGGGCUCAUUCUCGGAAUGCA